rnacentral:rRNA from 1 species
GUGGGGAAUCUUGCACAAUGGGCGGAAGCCUGAUGCAGCGACGCCGCGUGCGGGACGAAGGCCUUCGGGCUGUAAACCGCUUUCAGCAGGGACGAGGCGAAAGUGACGGUACCUGCAGAAGAAGCCCCGGCUAACUACGUGCCAGCAGCCGCGGUAAUACGUAGGGGGCAAGCGUUAUCCGGAUUCAUUGGGCGUAAAGCGCGCGUAGGCGGCCAGCCUGGUCGGGAGUCAAAUCCGGGGGCUCAACCCCCGUCCGCUCCCGAUACCGGCCGGCUUGAGUCUGGCAGGGGAAGGCGGAAUUCCCGGUGUAGCGGUGGAAUGCGCAGAUAUCGGGAAGAACACCGGUGGCGAAGGCGGCCUUCUGGGCCACGACUGACGCUGAGGCGCGAAAGCUAGGGGAGCGAACAGGAUUAGAAACCCUAGUAGUCC